rnacentral:rRNA from 1 species
CUCCACCAUGUCCCUUUGAAUGUGACUGAUUUUGUCUGAUUUUGGAAGCUAAGCAGAGUCAGGCCUGGUCAAUACUUGGAUGGGUGGCCCUGCGGAAGUAUCUCCAGGUAGGGCUGGAAA